CAGAGCAGAUACGAGUGGGCAGCUACACCUCAAGCUUCCCCUGUACUGUCCUAUGAAUAUGCCUCAACACUGUUCCAUAAGGACCGUCUCUAAGGGCUUGUCUGCAUGAGAAAGUUUUAUACUGGCAUAAGGGACCUUUCCAUCACCUCCAAUGUGACAGUGGACACGUUGUGAGAUCCAGAGGAGAGAACCUCAGCAGUGUCCUGCAAGGAUGAAUUCAUAGAAGGAGGGGGAUGCAGACCCCAUGGAGAGCCAGGACCUGAUCCAGACAAGCCCAGAGAAUGAGCCCAGUGAGGAAGGGGAAGGGAGCACAGGCUAUCCUUAAGAAGCAUUCCUUGAACAGCUGCUGAAAGGCUGGCGUUGAUCAGGAGAAGAAGGAAGCGGACAAGGGAGCAUAUGUUUUCAGAGCUUCUCCAACUCUCAGAGGCUGCUGACUGGGAGAGUAGCGAUUGGAGGGUAAUGCAUGAUGGAGACUGGGCAGAAGGACCAGAACUGGAAUAAUCAUAUGCUCGAAGGCAGAGGGAGUGAGAGGUGCAUCAGGACGCUAUGACUCUGCCUAAACAACAAAUACAGAUGUUGCAGAAUAUUAUGGAGCAAAAUGCCCAAAGACCUCCCAAUCAGCUUUUGCACUUGAACAAUUUGAUGUUCACAAGACCACACACCAAACAAGGCACCAGCAGAGCCUGCCAUCUUAUCCCUACCACUCAACAGUGGUGGAAAUAAGGAAAACUAUGACUAUACAUACCCUGAUCUGCAGGAUCAGUCAGCAAGCGCCUAGCUCUUUGCUAUUUAAUAUAUACAAUAAAA